GAGAAGGAAAUGGAUUAAAUUAAACAUUCUCUCUUUGUAGCCAGGCUAAUAAGUCUUUCCAAGUGAACAGAUAGCAGAAAGGCAAUAUGGGCUGCCCUGGGUACACACUAAAGGCUUCUGUGAUUAAAGAAUGGAUUAGUUAAUGGAAGAUAGAAUGUGUGCACUUGAGCCAGUCAAUGUCAACUCAGGUUUAACCUGUCUUUGAGCCUAACUCAUGAAUGGAUUGAGCCAGACAGUACAGUACUUCCACCUGAAAUGGUACCCUGUGAGUCCUUACCUGAAUUAGUUUAUUAGCUUCAUUCUAGAUCUGGUGACAAGAGCUUCUGCAGUAAGAUGUAGUGCUGUGAGCUAAGAGGCUACUUCAUAAAUUUCUCUAUAGAGCUCAGUCCUUCAAGUUUUUUUUAAUCCUGAUUAUGGUUUACUAAAUGGCUCUCCGAUAAUCAGAGAGGUUGUUUUCAAAGCUGUUCUGUGAGAGUUGGCAGAAUGUAUUCAACCCAUAUAGUUAAUUAGGCAAACUGAGGAACAGACUUGGUGGGUGGGGAGGAAACAAGGUAGGAUAAGGUCAGAUGAAGGCAUUGCUAUUACUUAGAUAUGUUUUUGUGAGGUUGAAAGAACUCCUUUAGGGUCACAAUUCCUUUUGCAAUACUUGCAAUGGAACUGGUAUUUUUUUCAUCUCGCUCAAUAGGGAAAUUUAUUCAAGCUGCUCUUCAGGUUAACAUGAGUGAAGACAAAUAGAAGAUGUCAUCUGAUAGUGCUGCCUUGAAGCAGUUAUGAGAAAGCUUGGUGGUUCCAAAAGAAGUUAAUAGUUGAAAUUAGACUACCA
rnacentral:lncRNA from 1 species